AACAGGAUUAGAUACCCUGGUAGUCCACGCUGUAAACGAUGUCGACUUGGAGGUUGUGCCCUUGAGGCGUGGCUUCCGGAGCUAACGCGUUAAGUCGACCGCCUGGGGAGUACGGCCGCAAGGUUAAAACUCAAAUGAAUUGACGGGGGCCCGCACAAGCGGUGGAGCAUGUGGUUUAAUUCGAUGCAACGCGAAGAACCUUACCUACUCUUGACAUCCAGAGAAUUUGCUAGAGAUAGCUUAGUGCCUUCGGGAACUCUGAGACAGGUGCUGCAUGGCUGUCGUCAGCUCGUGUUGUGAAAUGUUGGGUUAAGUCCCGCAACGAGCGCAACCCUUAUCCUUUGUUGCCAGCAAGUAAUGGUGGGAACUCAAAGGAGACUGCCGGUGAUAAACCGGAGGAAGGUGGGGAUGACGUCAAGUCAUCAUGGCCCUUACGAGUAGGGCUACACACGUGCUACAAUGGCAUAUACAAAGAGAAGCGAACUCACGAGAGCAAGCGGACCUCAUAAAGUAUGUCGUAGUCCGGAUUGGAGUCUGCAACUCGACUCCAUGAAGUCGGAAUCGCUAGUAAUCGUAGAUCAGAAUGCUACGGUGAAUACGUUCCCGGGCCUUGUACACACCGCCCGUCACACCAUGGGAGUGGGUUGCAAAAGAAGUAGGUAGCUUAACCUUCGGGAGGGCGCUUACCACUUUGUGAUUCAUGACUGGGGUGAAGUCGUAACAAGGUAACC
rnacentral:rRNA from 1 species